rnacentral:rRNA from 1 species
UACGGAGGAUGCAAGCGUUAUCCGGAAUCAUUGGGUUUAAAGGGUCCGUAGGCGGGUUGUUAAGUCAGAGGUGAAAGUUUGCAGCUCAACUGUAAAAUUGCCUUUGAUACUGGCAGUCUUGAAUCAUUGUGAAGUGGUUAGAAUGUGUAGUGUAGCGGUGAAAUGCUUAGAUAUUACACAGAAUACCGAUUGCGAAGGCAGAUCACUAACAAUGUAUUGACGCUCAGGGACGAAAGCGUGGGGAGCAAACAGG